rnacentral:tRNA from 1 species
UCCCUGGUGGUCUAGUGGUUAGGAUUUGACACUUUCACUGUCAUGGGCCUGGGUUCAAUCUCUGGUUGGGGAU